AUAUAAAUGUAUAUUAAUAUAUUAAUUUUUUUUUUAAAUUAAUAUUACUAUAUUAAUAUAUUUUUAUUUAAAUGAAUAUAUAUUCAUGAAUAUUGAAUUUAAUUUUUAAAUUAAAUAUUAUGAAAAAAAAAGAAAAGAAAUUAUUUAAUAUUUAAUAAUUUAUAUUAAAUAUUUUAAUAUAAAAAAAAAAAAAAAAAAUUCUAUGUUGUUUUUUUUUACAAA
rnacentral:rRNA from 1 species